CCUCCUCCUCCUCACUCCUUGUUCACUCCGCUCUAAUCCCCCAAAUCAUCAAAUUCCUCUCUUCUAGGGUUAGGGUUUCCUCCAACCUUUACACGCACAAGUUUACACACCGAUAAAUUCAAUCUCUUUGUAUUCAAUUGAUAAAUAUGGCGUCUUCAACAGCUCAAAUUCACGCUCUUGGAGCCACAUAUUUCACAACUUCCUCUUCCAGUAGAAAACCCUCAAAGACAGUGUUUUUAGGUCAAAACCUAAACAACAGAACCCUAGCGUUCGGACUGAAGCAGAAGAAGAGCAGUAGCAGCCGGAGAAAUGGUGGUGGUCACGCGCCGCUGCGGGUGGUGGCGGAGAAGGUGGUGGGAAUUGACUUGGGGACGNUGAUUUGGGGACUACCAAUUCCGCCGUGGCUGCUAUGGAAGGAGGGAAGCCCACCAUAGUGACCAACGCUGAAGGGCAGAGGACAACACCUUCAGUGGUGGCUUAUACUAAGAACGGGGAUAGGCUUGUCGGGCAAAUUGCGAAGCGUCAGGCUGUGGUGAACCCGGAGAAUACCUUCUUUUCGGUGAAGAGAUUCAUAGGGAGGAAAAUGAAUGAGGUGGAUGAGGAGUCGAAGCAGGUCUCGUACAAUGUUAUUAGAGAUGAGAAUGGAAACGUCAAGCUCGAUUGCCCUGCCAUUGGCAAAUCAUUCGCAGCCGAAGAAAUUUCAGCUCAGGUCUUGAGGAAGUUGGUGGAUGAUGCAUCCAAAUUUUUGAAUGACAAGGUUUCCAAAGCUGUUGUCACAGUUCCUGCAUACUUCAAUGAUUCUCAGAGGACAGCAACAAAGGAUGCCGGUCGUAUUGCUGGAUUAGAGGUUCUCCGGAUAAUUAAUGAACCAACUGCUGCCUCCCUGGCUUAUGGUUUUGAAAAGAAGAACAAUGAAACUAUUUUGGUUUUUGAUCUUGGAGGUGGUACUUUUGAUGUAUCAGUUCUUGAGGUUGGUGACGGUGUUUUUGAGGUGUUGUCUACUUCUGGUGAUACCCAUCUUGGUGGUGACGAUUUUGACAAGAGAAUUGUUGAUUGGCUUGCUUCAGAUUUCAAGAAGAAUGAAGGUAUUGAUCUUCUGAAGGACAAACAAGCUCUUCAACGUCUGACUGAGACUGCUGAAAAAGCUAAGAUGGAACUGUCAUCACUGACACAGACUAACAUCAGUUUACCAUUCAUCACAGCCACUGCAGAUGGUCCUAAACACAUUGAGACCACUAUCACACGGGGUAAAUUUGAAGAACUAUGCUCAGAUCUGCUUGACAGGCUUAAAACUCCUGUUCAGAAUUCCUUGAGAGAUGCCAAGCUCUCCUUCAGCGAUAUUGAUGAGGUGAUCCUUGUUGGUGGUUCUACACGUAUUCCAGCUGUUCAGGAACUUGUUAAGAAAUUGACUGGAAAGGACCCCAAUGUUACAGUAAAUCCUGAUGAAGUUGUUGCUCUCGGUGCUGCAGUGCAGGCUGGAGUAUUGGCCGGAGAUGUCAGUGAUAUUGUUCUUUUAGAUGUCACACCGUUGUCCAUUGGUUUGGAAACACUUGGUGGUGUGAUGACAAAGAUCAUUCCAAGAAAUACAACAUUACCUACCUCAAAAUCAGAAGUAUUCUCUACUGCUGCUGAUGGUCAGACAAGUGUAGAAAUUAAUGUCCUUCAAGGGGAGCGAGAAUUUGUUAGGGAUAACAAGUCUUUGGGCAGCUUCCGGCUUGAUGGUAUUCCUCCCGCCCCAAGAGGGGUUCCACAAAUUGAAGUGAAAUUUGAUAUUGAUGCCAAUGGCAUUCUCUCCGUCACUGCUAUUGACAAGGGUACUGGGAAGAAGCAAGACAUCACCAUUACUGGUGCCAGCACAUUGCCCGGUGAUGAGGUUGAGAGAAUGGUUAAAGAAGCUGAAAGAUUCGCCCAGGAAGACAAGGAGAAGAGAGAUGCUAUAGACACAAAGAACCAGGCUGAUUCUGUUGUCUACCAGACAGAGAAGCAGCUGAAGGAACUUGGAGACAAAGUACCAGGGCCGGUGAAAGAGAAAGUUGAGGCUAAACUUGGAGAGCUUAAAGAAGCGAUCUCAGGGGGCUCAACUCAAACCAUGAAGGAUGCGAUGGCUGCCCUUAACCAAGAAGUAAUGCAACUUGGUCAGUCACUCUACAACCAGCCCGGUGCUGGAGCUGCACCAGGUGCUGGUCCUGCACCUGGCGAUUCCGCUGGUCCUUCAGAAUCAUCAUCAGGGAAAGGACCUGAUGGAGACGUAAUUGAUGCUGAUUUCACCGACAGCAAGUGAGCAUAGAAGAGAAAUUUUGAGGCUAUAUUUAAUUUUCAGCUUAUUAUACUCUUACUUAGGUUGUGUAUAAGGUUUUUACUUUUGCACAAUUACGAUUUUGGGGGACAAUUUCUGGUGGUUGGGGUCUGCGAAAAAGAUGAUUCAUACAGGAAAUAGAGGUUAGAAAUGUUGAGUUAGGUGGCUACUCUUGCUUGCAAGAUGAAACAGUGUCAACCCCAUGAAUAUUUUUAGAGAUGUCACCAGUCGUACCAAAAAGUUAGAGAUACUGCUUUUCUGGUUCUCACCCCUACCAUCCCCAAACUUGAUAUUUAGGGGUACUUGUGGAUCGAUUCCUAAAGCUCCUUGUGCUUUUGAUUACUUGUUCUCUCAGUCUCAGACUUGCUGUUGUUGGAGUUAUUGAAUUUGAAUUUAAUUCUUACUA